GGUUUUCAAGGGACCUUGGUUAGACUAUGCUCCCACUCUCUAUGAGAGGGUGGAAAGCCCAUUCAAGAAGUUUGUUAGCUCUCUAUAUUCAAGCAGGUUAGAGAUAAGAAAGAUGGGAACGAAGCUUUAUUUUAUGUGUACAAGAUACGGAUGAAUUCUCUAUUUCAAGGGCGAAGAGGUGCAGGUCAUGUACCCAUGUUUUGACUACUGCGGAUAUUGAGGAUUGGAUGUAUAACCAGUUGGAUGUUACCCGUAGUUUUUUACAUAUUCUACUCUAU
rnacentral:lncRNA from 1 species